rnacentral:pre_miRNA from 1 species
GAAACACCCCUAUGGAGCAGGACUUGCUUCAUUGGGGCUUUGGUUCUCAUUGAGUCUUCCCCUUGAGUGUGUCACU